rnacentral:lncRNA from 1 species
UCCAGGGGGGGAUUCCGUAUACGAUUGAUCGACCAACCCCCCUUUUUUGUUGGCUGAUCAAUGCAUUUGAAUGGGGACAUAUAGUUGGAACCCCCCUUUUUAAAAUGACUGGAUCAGCCCCUGAUGCUAAUUUAAACAAAAACAUUUGGGUGAUGGCGUUGAAAAGUAAAUAGUUAAUAUACUCAAAAAAGAACACACCGCCCCCUUCAUGAAGCAAAAUAUUCGGUCAAUAAAUGUUUUCUUCAAUAUAUGGACAUGAAUAGUAUUUUGGACAAUGCUGAAAGUAAAGAAAGGAUGAUACUGACGUGAACAUUUCAAUAAAAAUAAGACAAGAAAUAAGUAAAUAAAAAUCAAAUCUAAUAUCAAAAGAUAAAAUCCCUAUCAACUCACCAAUGCACGAUUGAUCCUAUAAACAAAAAGUGUUCAUCUAAUACACGUCCAAUUAAGCACAAAUCUAGAAGAAAAUCUUUCAACUUAUGUCAUCAAUUUUGGGCGGUAAGCUGCGAUUGGAUCAUAUAGUAACACGUGUUUAAUCCCGAUCAACACUUGCAGAUCUAGAGACGAGCAUGAGUUUAAAAAAAAAUCACAAAGUAUAUUCCUGAAUAUAUAUAAUACUAAGACAAAAUCCAUUUUUUUCAUAAAUAUUUCAUUCCCUAAUGAACUAGGAAAUUCAUUCUUUUGAUACCUUUAUAUUGUUAUCGAAUUUAUAUCAGUGGCGGAUACAUGUCUAAAUCC